rnacentral:rRNA from 1 species
UACGGAGGGUGCAAGCGUUAAUCGGAAUUACUGGGCGUAAGCGUGCGUAGGCGGUUCGUUAAGUCUGCUGUGAAAGCCCCGGGCUCAACCUGGGAAUGGCAGUGGAUACUGGCGAGCUAGAGUGUGAUAGAGGAUGGUGGAAUUCCCGGUGUAGCGGUGAAAUGCGUAGAGAUCGGGAGGAAUACCGAUGGCGAAGGCAACUGCCUGGGCCUGAACUGACACUGUGACUCGAAAGCGUGGGUAGCAAACAGG